GAGAGCCAAGAGAUCCGUUGUUGAAAGUUGUUUCGUUUGUAGGCGAAUCAGAGUUCGCUUUGACAUUCGUUAAAACUGGAGUUUUUGAAUGCGGCCUCAGGCGCUAGGCGCCGUCAGCCGUGAAGGAGCACAGUGGGGUUUGUGGGUUGUGAGUCGGCGUCGGAGACCCGCUGCACGGCCGCGAGGGCUGGAGCAGGGCACACCCGAUCGCCUCCUCGGAGAUACGAUAAUGAUCCUU
rnacentral:misc_RNA from 1 species